AUUGAACGCUGGCGGCAGGCUUAACACAUGCAAGUCGAGCGGGGUGAUGGUGCUUGCACUAUCACUUAGCGGCGGACGGGCGAGUAAUGCUUAGGAAUCUGCCUAUUAGUGGGGGACAACAUCUCGAAAGGGAUGCUAAUACCGCAUACGUCCUACGGGAGAAAGCAGGGGAUCACUUGUGACCUUGCGCUAAUAGAUGAGCCUAAGUCGGAUUAGCUAGUUGGUGGGGUAAAGGCCUACCAAGGCGACGAUCUGUAGCAGGUCUGAGAGGAUGAUCCGCCACACUGGGACUGAGACACGGCCCAGACUCCUACGGGAGGCAGCAGUGGGGAAUAUUGGACAAUGGGGGGAACCCUGAUCCAGCCAUGCCGCGUGUGUGAAGAAGGCCUUAUGGUUGUAAAGCACUUUAAGCGAGGAGGAGGCUCUUUUGGUUAAUACUCAAGAUGAGUGGACGUUACUCGCAGAAUAAGCACCGGCUAACUCUGUGCCAGCAGCCGCAGUAA
rnacentral:rRNA from 1 species